GAACGCUGGCGGCGUGCCUAAUACAUGCAAGUCGAGCGCGGGAAGCGGACAAUCACCCUUCGGGGUGUGCGUCCGUGGAACGAGCGGCGGAUGGGUGAGUAUCACGUGGGCAACCUGCCUGUAAGAUUGGGAUAACUCGCGGAAACGUGAGCUAAUACCGAAUGAAGUCUUUCACCGCCUGGUGAAAGGAUGAAAGAUGGCUCUUGAGCUAUCACUUACAGAUGGGCCCGCGGCGCAUUAGCUAGUUGGUGGGGUAAAGGCCUACCAAGGCGACGAUGCGUAGCCGACCUGAGAGGGUGAUCGGCCACACUGGGACUGAGACACGGCCCAGACUCCUACGGGAGGCAGCAGUAGGGAAUCUUCCGCAAUGGACGAAAGUCUGACGGAGCAACGCCGCGUGAGUGAUGAAGGUCUUCGGAUCGUAAAAACUCUGUUGUCAGGGAAGAACAAGUUGUGUUCUAACAGGACAUGACCUUGACGGUACCUGACCAGAAAGCCCCGGCUAACUACGUGCCAGCCGCAGC
rnacentral:rRNA from 1 species